rnacentral:lncRNA from 1 species
UCAGGAAUACAGGCCACAGAGCUAAUGAAGGGCCCCAAGGAAAGAAAGACCUGCCCAUCAGCGAUGAAUUCUCUCCCCCAGUGCCACAGACCUGAGGGCACGUGACCCAGGAAUGUGCAUCCAAAGAUAAUAGUACCUUCAGAGAACUCUACUUAUAGAGAAACUGAAGAAUAAAAAGGAAGGACGAUACAGUUGCCUCAGCUAUUCUGCUGUGAUACCUGAGGAACUUUGAAAGGUGAACAACCCGAAGUACUGAAAUGUUCUCAGCAUGAAUUAAGUAAUUCAUCUCUAAAGUGGUCUGAAGAUAGAGGCAAUAGAAUUUCCAGUAAUAACAAAUGAUCAGAGAUGGAUUUGGCCUGACACUCCAAGAAAGUACAGGUGUUGCAUUAAUCUGGCAACAAAAUAAGGUGAAAUUGAAUCACUGAAGCAGCUGAGGCAGAGAGCUUUUCCUUCAGGAUUCUCGUCCUAUUUCUCAGUUCUGGGAAGACAACUCUAACAACUCAACAGAGUGAAGAGAGAUAAAGAUGUUGGGAAUGACUGAUUUCAAACAAUCAAAACUGCUUUGGGGAUGAGGAUGAAGUUGGGACAUUACUGCCUUGUAUACCACAUACUAUAAUGUUUAUUAUGUCUAUUGUUUAUUGUGUGUGUCCUUCUUUAGAAUUUUAACUCCCCAAGGGCAAAGAUCCCUGACUGUUUUGUUUAUCAAUGUAUCCAAAAGGCCUAAAACAGAGCCUUGUACCUUAUACACACUCUGCAAAUAUUUGCUGAAUUGAAUAAAAG